UACAGGCGGACUACUCGCAUCGCAGUCAUUCGAAAAUAAUAAGUGUUAAAGUGAAGUUCUCCAGUGAAAGUAAAAAAGUUUGAUAGAGAGGUUUCUCUUGAAAUAGUGCAUAGUUGCUAUAUAUAAAGAUUACUCAACUGCAAUGAAAAAGUGUGCAGAAUCUGUGGGAAAGGCAAAACUGCGGAGCUAUAUUAUGGCACGUCGACUGAAAUAGUUGGUAGCGCCCUUUGAGCUUUUUGCUGUGUACAAGGAAAAGAUAAUCUGCUCGUCGUCAUCGUCGUGAGCACUUUUGAGGCAUUUUCACAUUGAGGAAAUGGUUAAACAGGAAAUCAAUGGCCAAGUUUUUCCCCACAUUCGGCUAGAGAAAUUACACUGUAGGCAGGCAGAGGCAGAUGCCAGGAGCUUGUAAUAAAAUUGCUGAGGCAAGCAAAAAUUAUAGCCAGACCCCGGAGUGUAUGUUCUGACCUGGAAUUGAGGAGUUUGGAGUUUAGGAAGACAGUUGGGCGUUGAAAGUUGAUACGCGAUCGAACUUGAUCGCAAUGCGUGAGAAAAAGCCUUACAAUUAGCUCAAAAUGCUGCUUGUUCGGUCCCAUGUAGCCGUGAGAGUAUAUCUAAGCUAAACUGCGACCAAAUGUGUGUGUGUAUGUCGCGGCCUACACAGGGGUACUAAACAUCGUUUUUAUCAGAUUGUGAUUGCGUGGAUUGAAUAUAUAUAGGAACCCGUAUCGACUUCUCUGCUCUGCUAAGACUUGUUCGAAAGAAAGGCGCCCAAAUACAUACGUUAUAUAAACGGUCGUCUAUUAUUCACCUACCAUCGACCGUUAUCUCAAUACUGAUCGAAUAGAUACAACACUCUACUGACAUCGAUAGAUAUACAUAUAUAUCUAGUAUCUGGAGUAGCAACCGAUUGCGCGUUCAUUUCGCGCAAAGCAUAAACUGUAGAAUAUAUUUUAUUUACUUUAUAUAUUUUUUUUUCCUUUGUUAACGUAAACAUUUACGAGUACACGACAAGCGUGGCCUAACUCAUAAAAUACCUGAAACUGUAAAAAAUACAAAACAAUUUAUUUCUUCUGUUUUUGUACAAAUCCAAGAUUUAAGAAAACUUGUCUAUUGUUCUUGUAAUUACACUUGUCCAACUCACUUAUAGAAAAUGAGAAGAAAAAAAAGAAAAAAAAAAAUAUGAAAAAGAGCUCACCAAACAGAAAAGAAGCUACAAACAAAAAAGAAUAAAUGAAAUCUGAGAUCAAUAAAUUUCGAAACAAUUGUUCGCCAUAUUUUUAUUUUAAGCUUAAAUUCUAAAUGAAAUUUCAGUCGAAUCAUCAUAAGCGGAGGAAGGGACACAGAUCUAAACCUAAAUAAACCCGCAGGUUUAUUCACAAAAUAAUUAAAAAUCUAAGGAAGCCACACUCACAUGCUUUUUCGACGUAGCAUACACAAAUCCUCUUAAAAAAACGGUAUAUAUAUGAAUAAAAAUCUUAAAUAUAUUUUAGCGACUCAGUUAAAAUAUCAAUAAUUCAUAUAUUAUAUUCAUAAAACAUUAAGGAAGUUUUAAUCUUUAAACCACAUUAUUGAAAGUAUCAUGUCUAAGAAAACAUGCGUAUGGUACAUUGACGUAAUUCACAGCGGUCUAUAAAAAUAAAUUAAUGGUAAAAAGAAAAUUGAUUAGAUUUCAAAAGCUAUGAACCUUAUUUGAACAUUUUCUGAUGCUAAGAAAUGAAACUUAUAAGAUUUCUAGUUUUUAAUUAUCUCAACUAAUAUUUAUCCAACAUAUUCGAGUUAUUAUAGUAAUAUGUACUCCUACAUAUAUGAUGGUUAAAUAAAGUCGAAAUUUUAACAAUUUAAACAAAAUAUUUCACGAUUUUUCACAAUUCUUGACGAUAUUUGCGAAAUUAUUAUAAUAGGGUCUAUUCAUACAUUUUUGGCUUUAAAUGAUAUCAAAGGCAGAAUUUAGCGCCCAAAGAAUUUCUAAGUUUCAAUGCAACAAUUCUUCCAAUUGCGAUCGCAAAUGUUACUGAAUUAUAGACCUUCAACAUCAAUAAAAAAAAAAAAAGUAAUAUAAGCCCCUACACGUGAUCCUACUCAAAAAUGAACACAAUAGCAUGAGGAUUUCAGCAGCUACUAAAAAACAUGUUUUCUAUACAAUAAUCUGUAAAAACCUCCCUAAGUUCUUCAAAGGUUCACAAUUGUAAUCAAAUUGCAACUGCAGCUGCCACUAUUUGUGACGUCUGCGUCUUGAUUUUAUAAAUACGGGCAAUAUUUCUUCAAUCUGAUUUAUUCAAAGUAACCCUCUUAAUGAAUUAUUUGAGAAAUUACAAAUCUAUAUGAAACCUCGUCAAAUUACGAACGAAUAUAAAAAAAGAUAAAUUUGUUUACGUGGGAGGCUCGAGUGAAAAUACUAAAACGAAAAAAUAGAAUAGAUGAGAUAGCAUAGCAAUGACGCUGCAUGCAUAUAGAAAACAGUUUAUUAAAAAAACUAUACUAAAAAGAACUGAUUAUAUUUGACAACUAUUGACUACAUGGCCUAAAGAGAUAGGCCAAAACUUGCGUUAUAAAAAAACGGCCCAUACAAUUUUUACCUAAUAACAAGAAAUAUAUAGAACCACCGCAAAAGUAACGAAUAUAUACGUGAAACACAAAACCUAUUCUGCGGUGUACAAAACGAGUACAAUGAACCGAAUAUAUAAAAACAGAAAUUUAUAGGUGGUUUAAAAUAUUAAUUUUCCUUGUGAACGGAAACAGCGUAAAGCCAAAAAUGAAUAGUAGGUAGAUAUAAUUUCUUACCCUAUUAUAUGGUAUACUAAAACUAAAAGAUAAAAUGUAGAUGAAAAAUAAGUAUAGGAACGCAAUCUGCGACAAAGUGGGCGAUAAUACUGACAAGCAAACUGUAAAAAUUACCCAGUGAUACAAUAAACUUGUAGAGUGUCUGACCACUAAAUUUCCACAUAAGGUAGGUGGUACACUAAAUAUACGUAAAACUAAACUUCCUAUUAAAUCGUACACAGGAACUACGUCAAACUAAAGAAUGUGUAAAGAUAUAACUUCCCUAUUAAAUGGUACGCAUAAACUACGUCAAAUUGAAGAGUGUGUGAAGACACAAUUUCCCUAUUAGGUAGGUGGUACACUGUAACUACGUAAACCUAGAGUGUGUGAAGACACAAAAACCCUUUUAGGUAGGAGGUACACAAACACUGCGUAAUACUAAAGAGUGUAUGAAUACAUAAUGUCCCCAUUAGGUAGGAGGUACACAAACACUGCGUAAAACUACAGAGUGUGUGAAGAUAUAAUUUCCCUAUUAAAUGGUGCACUAAAUCUACGUAAGACUAAGGAGUGUGUGAAGACACAUUUUCCCUAUUAGGUAGGUGGUACACUGUAACUACGUAAACCUAGAGUGUGUGAAGACACAAAAACCCUUUUAGGUAGGAGGUACACAAACACUGCGUAAUACUAAAGAGUGUAUGAAUACAUAAUGUCCCCAUUAGGUAGGUGGUACACAAACACUACGUAAAACUAAAGAGUGUGUAAAGAUAUAACCUCCCUAUUAAAUGGUGCACUGCAACUACGUAAAACUACGUUGCGUAAAAACACAUUCCCUAUUAAAUGAUACGCAAACCCUGCGAAGAAUUGAAGAGAGUGUGUGAAGACACAAUAUCCCCAUUAAGUAGGUGGUACACAAACAUUGCGUAAUACUAAAGAGUGUAUGAAUACAUAAUGUCCCCAUUAGGUAGGAGGUGCAUAAACACUGCGUAAAACUACAGAGUGUGUGAAGAUAUAAUUUCCCUAUUAAAUGGUGCACUAAAUGUACGGAAAACUAAGGAGUGUGUGAAGACACAAAAACCCUUUUAGGUAGGAGGUACACAAACACUACGUAAAACUAAAGAGUGUGUGAAGAUAUAAUUUCCCUAUUAAAUGGUGCACUAAAUCUACGUAAGACUAAGGAGUGUGUGAAGACACAUUUUCCCUAUUAGGUAGGUGGUACACUGUAACUACGUAAACCUAGAGUGUGUGAAGACACAAUAACCCUUUUAGGUAGGAGGUACCCAAACACUGCGAAAACUAAAGAGUGUAUGAAGAUAUAAUUUUCCUAUUAAAUGGUGCACUAAAUCUACGUAAAACUAAGUAGUGUGUGAAGACACAUUUUCCCUAUUAGGUAGGUGGUACACUGUAACUACGUAAACCUAGAGUGUGUGAAGACACAAAAACCCUUUUAGGUAGGAGGUACACAAACACUGCGUAAAACUAAAGAGUGUGUGAAAAUCUGAAUUCCCUAUUAAAUGGUGCACUAAAUCUAUGUAAAACUACGUUGCGUAAAAACACAUACGCAAACAGUGCGAAGAAUUGAAGAGAGUGUGUGAAGACACAAUAACCCUUUUAGGUAGAAGGUACACAAACACUGCGUAAAACUAAAGUGUGUGUGAAGAUAUGAUUUCCUUAUUAAAUGGUACGCAUAAACUACGUCAAAUUGAAGAGUGUGUGAAGACACAAAAACCCUUUUAGGUAGGAGGUACCCAAACACUGCGUAAAACUAAAGAGUGUGUGAAGAUAAAUCUACGUAAAACUACGUUGCGUAAAAACACAUUUCCUAUUAAAUAAUACGCAAACACUGCGAAGAAUUGAAGAGAGUAUGUGAAGACACAAUAUCCCUACUAAACUAUUAAACUACGACAAAUUAAGAAGCGUGUGAGGACAUAAUGUCCCUUUUAGGUAGGUGGUACACAAACACUACGUAAAACUAAAGAGUGUGUAAAGAUAUAACCUCCCUAUUAAAUGGUGCACUGCAACUACGUAAAACUACGUUGCGUAAAAACACAUUCCCUAUUAAAUGAUACGCAAACACUGCGAAGAAUUGAAGAGAGUGUGUGAAGACACAAAAGCCCUUUUAGGUAGGAGGUACACAAACACUGCGUAAAACUAAAGAGUGUGUGAAGAUAUGAUUUCCCUAUUAAAUGGUGCACUAAAUCUACGUAAAACUACGUUGCGUAAAGACACAUUCCCCAUUAAAUGAUACGCAAACACUGCGAAGAAUUGAAGAGAGUGUGUGAAGACUCAAAAGCCCUUUUAGGUAGGAGGUACACAAACACUGCGUAAUACUAAAGAGUGUAUGAAUACAUAAUGUCCCCAUUAGGUAGGAGGUGCAUAAACACUGCGUAAAACUACAGAGUGUGUGAAUAUAUGAUUUCCCUAUUAAAUAGUGCACUAAAUCUACGUCAAAUUAAGGAGUAUGUGAAGACACAAUUUCCCUAUUAGGUAGGUGGUACACUGUAACUACGUAAACCUAGAGUGUGUGAAGACACAAAAAGCCUUUUAGGUAGGAGGUACACAAACACUGCGUAAUACUAAAGAGUGUAUGAAUACAUAAUGUCCCCAUUAGGUAGCAGGUACAUAAACACUGUGUAAAACUAAAGAGUGUGUGAAGAUAUAAUUUCCCUAUUAAAUGGUGCACAUAGACUACGGUGCACUAAAUCUACGUAAAACUACGUUGCGUGAAAACACAUUCCCUAUUAAAUGAUACGCAAACCCUGCGAAGAAUUGAAGAGAGUGUGUGAAGACACAAAAGCCCUUUUAGGUAGGAGGUACACAAACACUGCGAAAACUAAAGAGUGUGUGAAAAUCUGAUUUCCCUAUUAAAUGGUGCACUAAAUCUACGUAAAACUACGUUGCGUGAAAACACAUUCCCUAUUAAAUGAUACGCAAACCCUGCGAAGAAUUGAAGAGAGUGUGUGAAGACACAAAAGCCCUUUUAGGUAGGAGGUACACAAACACUGCGUAAUACUAAAGAGUGUAUGAAUACAUAAUGUCCCCAUUAGGUAGGAGGUGCAUAAACACUGCGUAAAACUACAGAGUGUGUGAAGAUAUAAUUUCCCUAUUAAAUGGUGCACUAAAUCUACGUAAGACUAAGGAGUGUGUGAAGACACAUUUUCCCUAUUAGGUAGGUGGUACACUGUAACUACGUAAACCUAGAGUGUGUGAAGACACAAUAACCCUUUUAGGUAGGAGGUACCCAAACACUGCGAAAACUAAAGAGUGUGUAAAGAUAUAAUUUCCCUAUUAAAUGGUGUACUAAGACUACGUAAGACUAAGGAGUGUGUGAAGACACAUUUCCCCUAUUAGGUAGGUGGUACACUGUAACUACGUAAACCUAGAGUGUGUGAAGACACAAUAACCCUUUUAGGUAGGAGGUACACAAACACUGCGAAAACUAAAGAGUGUGUGAAGAUAUAAUUUCCCUAUUAAAUGGUGCACUAAAUCUACGUAAAACUACGUUGCGUGAAAACACAUUCCCUAUUAAAUGAUACGCAAACCCUGCGAAGAAUUGAAGAGAGUGUGUGAAGACACAAAAGCCCUUUUAGGUAGGAGGUACACAAACACUGCGUAAUACUAAAGAGUGUAUGAAUACAUAAUGUCCCCAUUAGGUAGGAGGUGCAUAAACACUGCGUAAAACUACAGAGUGUGUGAAGAUAUAAUUUCCCUAUUAAAUGGUGCACUAAAUCUACGUAAGACUAAGGAGUGUGUGAAGACACAUUUUCCCUAUUAGGUAGGUGGUACACUGUAACUACGUAAACCUAGAGUGUGUGAAGACACAAAAACCCUUUUAGGUAGGAGGUACCCAAACACUGCGUAAUACUAAAGAGUGUAUGAAUACAUAAUGUCCCCAUUAGGUAGGAGGUGCAUAAACACUGCGUAAAACUCAAGAGUGUGUGAAUAUAUGAUUUCCCUAUUAAAUAGUGCACUAAAUCUACGUAAAACUACGUGCGUAAAAACACAUUCCCCAUUAAAUGAUACGCAAACACUGCGAAGAAUUGAAGAGAGUGUGUGAAGACACAAAAACCCUUUUAGGUAGGAGAUACACAAACACUGCGUAAAACUAAAGAGUGUGUGAAGAUAUGAUUUCCCUAUUAAAUGGUGCACUAAAUCUACGUAAAACUACGUUGCGUAAAGACACAUUCCCUAUUAAAUGAUACGCAAACACUGCGAAGAAUUGAAGAGAGUGUGUGAAGACACAAAAGCCCUUUUAGGUAGGAGGUACACAAACACUGCGUAAUACUAAAGAGUGUAUGAAUACAUAAUGUCCCCAUUAGGUAGGUGGUACACAAACACUACGUAAAACUAAAGAGUGUGUAAAGAUAUAACCUCCCUAUUAAAUGGUGCACUGCAACUACGUAAAACUACGUUGCGUAAAAACACAUUCCCUAUUAAAUGAUACGCAAACCCUGCGAAGAAUUGAAGAGAGUGUGUGAAGACACAAUAUCCCCAUUAAGUAGGUGGUACACAAACAUUGCGUAAUACUAAAGAGUGUAUGAAUACAUAAUGUCCCCAUUAGGUAGGAGGUGCAUAAACACUGCGUAAAACUACAGAGUGUGUGAAGAUAUAAUUUCCCUAUUAAAUGGUGCACUAAAUGUACGGAAAACUAAGGAGUGUGUGAAGACACAAAAACCCUUUUAGGUAGGAGGUACACAAACACUACGUAAAACUAAAGAGUGUGUGAAGAUAUAAUUUCCCUAUUAAAUGGUGCACUAAAUCUACGUAAAACUACGUUGCGUGAAAACACAUUCCCUAUUAAAUGAUACGCAAACCCUGCGAAGAAUUGAAGAGAGUGUGUGAAGACACAAUAUCCCCAUUAAGUAGGUGGUACACAAACAUUGCGUAAUACUAAAUAGUGUAUGAAUACAUAAUGUCCCCAUUAGGUAGGUGGUACACAAACACUGCGAAUAACUAAAGAGUGUAUAAAGAUAUAACUUCCCUAUUAAAUGGUACACAUAAACUACGUCAAAUUAAGGAGUGUGUGAAGACACAAUAUCCCUAUUAGGUAGUAGGUACACAAACACUGCGUAAAACUAAAGAGUUUGUAAAGAUAUAACUUCCCUAUUAAAUGGUACACAUAAACGUCAAAUUAAGGAGUGUGUGAAGACACAAAAACCCUUUUAGGUAGGAGGUACACAAACACUACGUAAAACUAAAGAGUGUGUGAAGAUAUAAUUUCCCUAUUAAAUGGUGCACUAAAUCUACGUAAAACUACGUUGCGUGAAAACACAUUCCCUAUUAAAUGAUACGCAAACCCUGCGAAGAAUUGAAGAGAGUGUGUGAAGACACAAUAUCCCCAUUAAGUAGGUGGUACACAAACAUUGCGUAAUACUAAAUAGUGUAUGAAUACAUAAUGUCCCCAUUAGGUAGGAGGUGCAUAAACACUGCGUAAAACUACAGAGUGUGUGAAGAUAUAAUUUCCCUAUUAAAUGGUGCACUAAAUGUACGGAAAACUAAGGAGUGUGUGAAGACACAAAAACCCUUUUAGGUAGGAGGUACACAAACACUGCGUAAAACUAAAGAGUGUGUGAAGAUAUAAUUUCCCUAUUAAAUGGUGCACUAAAUCUACGUAAGACUAAGGAGUGUGUGAAGACACAUUUUCCCUAUUAGGUAGGUGGUACACUGUAACUACGUAAACCUAGAGUGUGUGAAGACACAAUAACCCUUUUAGGUAGGAGGUACCCAAACACUGCGAAAACUAAAGAGUGUGUGAAAAUAUAAUUUUCCUAUUAAAUGGUGCACUAAAUCUACGUAAAACUAAGGAGUGUGUGAAGACACAUUUUCCCUAUUAGGUAGGUGGUACACUGUAACUACGUAAACCUAGAGUGUGUGAAGACACAAAAACCCUUUUAGGUAGGAGGUACACAAACACUGCGUAAAACUAAAGAGUGUGUGAAAAUCUGAAUUCCCUAUUAAAUGGUGCACUAAAUCUAUGUAAAACUACGUUGCGUAAAAACACAUACGCAAACAGUGCGAAGAAUUGAAGAGAGUGUGUGAAGACACAAUAACCCUUUUAGGUAGAAGGUACACAAACACUGCGUAAAACUAAAGUGUGUGUGAAGAUAUGAUUUCCUUAUUAAAUGGUACGCAUAAACUACGUCAAAUUGAAGAGUGUGUGAAGACACAAAAACCCUUUUAGGUAGGAGGUACCCAAACACUGCGUAAAACUAAAGAGUGUGUGAAGAUAAAUCUACGUAAAACUACGUUGCGUAAAAACACAUUUCCUAUUAAAUAAUACGCAAACACUGCGAAGAAUUGAAGAGAGUAUGUGAAGACACAAUAUCCCUACUAAACUAUUAAACUACGACAAAUUAAGAAGCGUGUGAGGACAUAAUGUCCCUUUUAGGUAGGUGGUACACAAACACUACGUAAAACUAAAGAGUGUGUGAAGAUAUGAUUUCCCUAUUAAAUGGUGCACUAAAUCUACGUAAGACUAAGGAGUGUGUGAAGACACAUUUUCCCUAUUAGGUAGGUGGUACACUGUAACUACGUAAACCUAGAGUGUGUGAAGACACAAUAACCCUUUUAGGUAGGAGGUACCCAAACACUGCGAAAACUAAAGAGUGUGUAAAGAUAUAAUUUCCCUAUUAAAUGGUGUACUAAGACUACGUAAGACUAAGGAGUGUGUGAAGACACAUUUCCCCUAUUAGGUAGGUGGUACACUGUAACUACGUAAACCUAGAGUGUGUGAAGACACAAUAACCCUUUUAGGUAGGAGGUACCCAAACACUGCGAAAACUAAAGAGUGUGUAAAGAUAUAAUUUCCCUAUUAAAUGGUGUACUAAGACUACGUAAGACUAAGGAGUGUGUGAAGACACAUUUCCCCUAUUAGGUAGGUGGUACACUGUAACUACGUAAACCUAGAGUGUGUGAAGACACAAUAACCCUUUUAGGUAGGAGGUACCCAAACACUGCGAAAACUAAAGAGUGUGUAAAGAUAUAAUUUCCCUAUUAAAUGGUGUACUAAGACUACGUAAGACUAAGGAGUGUGUGAAGACACAUUUCCCCUAUUAGGUAGGUGGUACACUGUAACUACGUAAACCUAGAGUGUGUGAAGACACAAUAACCCUUUUAGGUAGGAGGUACACAAACACUGCGAAAACUAAAGAGUGUGUGAAGAUAUAAUUUCCCUAUUAAAUGGUGCACUAAAUCUAUGUAAAACUACGUUGCGUAAAAACACAUUCCCAUUAAAUGAUACGCAAACAGUGCGAAGAAUUGAAGAGAGUGUGUGAAGACACAAAAACCCUUUUAGGUAGGAGAUACACAAACACUGCGUAAAACUAAAGAGUGUGUGAAGAUAUGAUUUCCCUAUUAAAUGGUGCACUAAAUCUACGUAAAACUACGUUGCGUAAAGACACAUUCCCUAUUAAAUGAUACGCAAACACUGCGAAGAAUUGAAGAGAGUGUGUGAAGACACAAAAGCCCUUUUAGGUAGGAGGUACACAAACACUGCGAAAACUAAAGAGUGUGUGAAAAUCUGAUUUCCCUAUUAAAUGGUGCACUAAAUCUAUGUAAAACUACGUUGCGUAAAAACACAUUCCCUAUUAAAUGAUACGCAAACAGUGCGAAGAAUUGAAGAGAGUGUGUGAAGACACAAUAACCCUUUUAGGUAGAAGGUACACAAACACUGCGUAAAACUAAAGUGUGUGUGAAGAUAUGAUUUCCUUAUUAAAUGGUACGCAUAAACUACGUCAAAUUGAAGAGUGUGUGAAGACACAAAAACCCUUUUAGGUAGGAGGUACACAAACACUGCGUAAUACUAAAGAGUGUAUGAAUACAUAAUGUCCCCAUUAGGUAGGAGGUGCAUAAACACUGCGUAAAACUACAGAGUUUGUAAAGAUAUAACUUCCCUAUUAAAUGGUACACAUAAACGUCAAAUUAAGGAGUGUGUGAAGACACAAAAACCCUUUUAGGUAGGAGGUACACAAACACUGCGUAAUACUAAAGAGUGUAUGAAUACAUAAUGUCCCCAUUAGGUAGGAGGUGCAUAAACACUGCGUAAAACUCAAGAGUGUGUGAAUAUAUGAUUUCCCUAUUAAAUAGUGCACUAAAUCUACGUAAAACUACGUGCGUAAAAACACAUUCCCCAUUAAAUGAUACGCAAACACUGCGAAGAAUUGAAGAGAGUGUGUGAAGACACAAUAACCCUUUUAGGUAGAAGGUACACAAACACUGCGUAAAACUAAAGAGUGUGUGAAGAUAUAACUUCCCUAUUAAAUGGUGCACUAAAUCUACGUAAAACUACGUUGCGUAAAAACAUAUUCCUUAUUAGAUGAUAAGCAAACACUGCGAAGAAUUGAAGAGUGUGUGAAGACAGAAUAUCCCUAUUAGGUAGAAGGUACACAAACACUGCGUAAUACUAAAGAGUGUAUGAAUACAUAAUGUCCCCAUUAGGUAGGAGGUACACAAACACUGC